CCUACGGGUGGCAGCAGUGAGGAAUAUUGGUCAAUGGGCGUAAGCCUGAACCAGCCAAGUCGCGUGAGGGAUGAAGGUUCUAUGGAUCGUAAACCUCUUUUAUCAGGGAGUAAAGUGUGCGACGUGUCCCGCUUUGUAUGUACCUUAUGAAUAAGGAUCGGCUAACCCCGUGCCAGCAGCCGCGGUAAUACGGAGGAUCCGAGCGUUAUCCGGAUUUAUUGGGUUUAAGGGGUGCGUAGGCGGCAUGUAAAGUCAGCGGUAAAAUUGCGGGGUGAAACCCAAAACUGCCGUUGAAACUGGCAGUCUUGAGUGUGUGAGAGGGAGGCGGAAUGCGUGGUGUAGCGGUGAAAUGCAUAGAUAUCACGAAGAACCCCGAUUGCGAAGGCAGCAUACC
rnacentral:rRNA from 1 species